rnacentral:lncRNA from 1 species
CCAAAUGUCAUAAUUCUUUCCAUCUACCUUAUCACCCGUGGUGAGAUCAGCUAUGAUGGUUUUUGAAAGCCAUUUCACUACAUUCGAAAAAAUAAAUUUGAACAUUAGGCACAUUUUCUAAAAAAUUAUCAAGAUUGAAACACUACCCUCGACACAACGGGAUCGAAAAUUUCGCUAUACUCGUAAUCAUCACCCAGUGCCAGUUCAAAUAUUACAAUCUCAUUAAUUUUUCUAUUAAUUUUGAAACUUAUCCAAAAGUUGGAACUCAUCCAUUUUAAAAGAACACAUCCUUUUUUUUGAAAACAUAUUAAUAUAUUGAGAACUUAUCUCAUAAUAUCAUCAUACAGAUAAAAAAAUAAGUACUUAUACCAAAAUUUAAUUUGAAAAAUGUCGAUGCUGCGCAAAAUACACUCCUUUAUAUGGCUUUAGUUAUUACAUCACUUUUUAUAGAAUAAAACUUACUACAUCACUAUAAAGAUGUAUAUCUGAAAAAGAAAAUAUACUACAGACAAAUACAAGAAAAUUUUUUUGACAUCUUUUUAAUAUAAAAUUG